CCGGCACGGGUGAGUAACACGUAUCCAACCUGCCGUCUACUCUUGGACAGCCUUCUGAAGGAAGAUUAAUACAAGAUGGCAUCAUGAGUUCACAUGUUCACAUGAUUAAAGGUAUUCCGGUAGACGAUGGGGAUGCGUUCCAUUAGAUAGUAGGCGGGGUAACGGCCCACCUAGUCUUCGAUGGAUAGGGGUUCUGAGAGGAAGGUCCCCCACAUUGGAACUGAGACACGGUCCAA
rnacentral:rRNA from 1 species